AAUGUUGAAAAAAUUAAGUAACUGAGUUAACAUUAAUUAUUUAAAUUUUUUACUAAAAGUAGGUACCUUGUACAAAUAUCGGUCUAAUAAGUUAGUGGGGUUACUAGUACUACCUGAUUUAAAUAGUGGAAUUAUUUUACUAUGUUUUAUUAAGUCAGGAAAUUCACCACACCACAUUAUUAU